GAAUAUAAAAAAGAAAAUCGAAGAAUCCGAACAAAUGCACAAAAAUAUAAAUAAAGCGAGAGAAAGAAGAAAAAGGCAAGCAAGUAUGAGGAUAAAGUAAGAAGGUCUUGUCUAUUAGCUUUGUUUCAAAGCAUGUCCACAUUCCAUGUAUUUUUGCUUAUAAAUUCGAGCAAAAAAGAUUGCUUCAAAAUUAAAUACGUGUUAAAAAAUGCUCCAAAAUAGAAACAGAGGGAAAAUGACCAAAACCUCUCUUCUUUUUUA
rnacentral:lncRNA from 1 species